UGCAGAUAUGUAAAUAUGUACAUGAUCAAAUCUCAUCAAAAUUUGUAAUUGCUGUUGUGAUAUCUGUGACAAUGCACAUGGCCACACAGGGUCUGAAGUCUGUAGCUGUGUGUUUUUCAGGGACACCGACGAAGGCGAGGAUGAGUCUUCACUACAGCAAUCCACGAAUUUUUCCUGCGUACCUCCCGAACCACUUACCGGACAGUUUGGGAACCGAGGGCCUAAAGAAACUACAGAGCGAAGAGCAGGAGGAACAAGAGAACACGUGGCUUUCUCUGGGGUCUGAAGUCUGUAGCUGUGUGUUUUUCGAGACACCGACGAAGGCGAGGAUGAGUCCUAACUACAGCAAUCCACGAUUUUUUCCUGCGUACCUCCCGGACCACUUACCGGACAGUUUGGGAACCGAGGGCCUAAAGAAACUACAGAGCGAAGAGCAGGAGGAACAAGAGGACACGUGGCUUUCUCUGGGUAAACCUAUAUAUCACCUUUAUAUUUCCUCCUUGCAAUCACCAAGUACCUAUAUGUAUAUAAUGUAUUUUAAUGUUUAAAUAUUUGUAAAAAUUGUCAACAUUUUUGGAAAACGGAAUUUAGUUUAUUACCAAAAUGCAGAUAUGUAAAUAUGUACAUGAUCAAAUCUCAUCAAAAUUUGUAAUUGCUGUUGUGAUAUCUGUGACAAUGCACAUGGCCACACAGGGUCUGAAGUCUGUAGCUGUGUGUUUUUCAGGGACACCGACGAAGGCGAGGAAGAGUCUUCACUACAGCAAUCCACGGUAUGGAUAUGAAACAGAAGCUGGCACUUUUACAAUCAGUAGGUCUGGACCCGGCUCCGUCCGGUCUGAUACAAAAGUGUUGUAAUGACUUCACACACAUGUUAUAUAUUGGAGGAC
ensembl:lncRNA